UUGGAGGGCAAGUCUGGUGCCAGCAGCCGCGGUAAUUCCAGCUCCAAUAGCGUAUAUUAAAGUUGUUGCAGUUAAAAAGCUCGUAGUUGAAUUUCGGGGUUCUACCGUUGGUCGGGCUUUGUCUGUACUGGUGUGUAGAAUUUCUACCUUCUGGGGAACCAUCAUGCUAUUAAUUUAGCGUGGUGGGAAACCAGGACCUUUACCUUGAAAAAAUUAGUGUGUUCAAAGCAGGCUUAUGUCUGAAUACAUUAGCGUGGAAUAAUAGAAUAGGACGGUGGUCCUGUUUUGUUGGUUUCUGAAUCACCGUAAUGAUUAAUAGGGAUAGUUGGGGGCAUUAGUAUUCAAUUGUCAGAGGUGAAAUUCUUGGAUUUGUUGAAGACUAACUUCUGCGAAAGCAUUUGCCAAGGAUGUUUUCAUUAAUCAAGAACGAAAGUUAGGGGAUCGAAGACGAUCAGAUACCGUCGUAGUCUUAACCAUAAACUAUGCCGACUAGGGAUCGGACGAUGUUAAUUUUUCUUGACUCGUUCGGCGCCUUACGGGAAAC
rnacentral:rRNA from 1 species